CGGCCGGCCUGCAAGGCGCCCAAGGCCCCAGGCGCCGCCGCCGCCGCCGCCGCCAUCUUGUAUGUUUACGGCGUGGGCCCGCGGCUGCCGCCCCGCCCCCGCCGCGCGCUCGGCGCCGCGCGCACGCCGGGCACGCCCACGUCCCGCCCCCCGAAGCCUCUCUCCGGUGCCCGUCCGCGCCCUAGGCCCCGCCUCCUCACCGCCUCGCCCCGCCCAGACCGGAUGACGGAGCGUUCCGGGAGCCUGUGGCCCCGGCCUCCCCAGGCUGGCGCGCGCGGUAAAGGCUCAUCCAGCAAACGCAGGAAGAAGUAGUUUUCCCAGGCUGUGGAACGGUUUAGGAGACCGUGUUCCAUAAGAACUCCACGCUCUCCCCGGCAUACGCUCUGGGGUCCCAGCUUAGCUGCAAAGUAAAAGAUGUGCACCAGGAGCAGAGUAGGAGCCAGGCACAAGAAGCAUCAGUUUGGGAGAGGAAGGCCAAAUGAGUCCAAGGAACGUCCUGUACUUCCCACUUGGAGAGAAGGGGGAGCAGAAGCACCCCCUGGGGCACGAGCCAGGUCAGCUGCUGUCACUGGAGAGACAUGGCUGGGCAGCUGGCAUCACAGGACUGACUGAACACCGACUUGGCCUCUGCAUCGUGUUUUCAGACCACCACGAGCGUGCGCCUCGAUUUGCUUUCUCUAGUGACUGCCCCCAGCUGCCGGUUCUGUGACACUCGCAUGCCCGGAGCGGUCAGCUUCAACACACCCACCGGGUAAUCGGGCUGCUGCAUGAAAACACGAGUGAAAAGGGACACUGAAGGGCAGGAGACGCCGCAUUGCAGUUGACACACACCGUCCCAUCCCUGGGACGGACAUGCCGUCUCUAGUUAAGGCUUCUUAACAUCACACUAUCCACUAUGGGCGGGAGUUCUGUUUUGUGAACGCAGAGUUUCAACGUCUGUUCCAGUCAGGUGACCUAAACGUUGUUUUAAAUUAAGACGAAAGUCUGGUUGAAGAAAUUCUCCAAAAGAAUAAAAGUUCCCAACAUGAAGUUCUGCACCUCAUGCUUCCUCAAGGAGUGACAUCGUCACCCAUGUUUACCAUGACAGACCUGUACCUUCCCUGGUCCCCAGCGCACCUGUCAGAAAAAUCAUAGAUGGGACGCCUGGGGGCUCUGUCCGGUAAGCAUCCAACUCUUGAUUUCAGCUCUGGUCGAUGAUCUCCCAGUGCGUGGGAUCGAGCCCCGCGUCGGGCUCAGGUCAAUGAUCUCCCAGUGCGUGGGAUCGAGCCCCGCGUCGGGCUCAGGUCAAUGAUCUCCCAGUGCGUGGGAUCGAGCCCCGCGUCAGGCUCAGGUCAAUGAUCUCCCAGUGCGUGGGAUCGAGCCCCGCGUCGGGCUCAGGUCAAUGAUCUCCCAGUGUGUGGGAUCGAGCCCCGUGUCGAGCUCAGGUCAAUGAUCUUCCAGUGUGUGGGAUCGAGCACUGCGUCGAGCAGGCACUUCUGACCUCGCAGAGCCUGCUUGGGGUUCUCUCUCCCUCUCUUUCUGCCCCUCUCCCCCACUCUCUUUCUCUCUCUCAAAAUGAAUACAUAGACUUAGAAAAAGAAAAGGAAAAUCAUGGUUGACAAUUCAAGCUCUUUACAAAACAAGAAGGAAAAUUUUGUUUCAAGCAUCUAAAAUCUUAACAGUAGUGUGGCCACUACGAUCAACCGUGACACAUUUUGUCAUUAAUGAUCUCUUUAAAGGGGAAGUCUUACUGCAAACUGCUUGCAUUAAACAUCUUGACUUAAAAAUUCUGUCAAUGCAAGAUGAAAUACUAUUUAAUGGGCUCCCCAUUUCGGAAGCAUUUUUUAUAGAAUUACCUCAUUUUCCUGCACUCUCUGGAUGUGCCAUGUACUCCCUCAGAGUUGUAGCCGAGAUGACAUUAAAGAAAAAAAUUAUUUCAUGUUAAAUUGUAAAUGGUCUCUCCACGAAGCAGACAGCUGCUUGUUUUUAAGAUGAGUGCCAUUUCAGUGAAAAAGUAAAUGAAUAAAGCUAACCAAUUCACAGCCCUUUAAACUGUUAAAACUAGCAACACGUUAACCUUCAUUUCUUGCUGUGGGUGGGAUAGAGUCCAGGACAUGAUUGUUUCAAUAAAAUGCUUUACUUCUUUCCCUGGCCAAGAAUAAAAUCCAGUACUUAAGAGCAGAGAUAGAACAGGAAAAGAAUACACACAUGCAAUCACAGGGCUGGGGGGGGGGCGGGCAGGGAGAACUCAGGAGGCAUUGAACUUGCAAGGGGAUUUGCUAAUCCGGCUGAAAACAAAAGGCUUUUUUUUUUUUUUUUUUUUUUUGUAAAGUAAUCUCCAUAACCAACAUGGGAUCUCAGGACCCUGAGAUCAAGAGUUGUAUGCUCUACUAACUGAACCACCCAGGCUCCCCAAAGACUUUUUUUAAAAAGAUAUUUAUUUACUUUUAAUUAUUUUUUAAUGUUUAUUUAUUCUUGAGAGACAGAGAGAGAGAAAAAAACAGAGUAUAAGCAGGAGAGGGGCAGAGAGAGAGGGAGACACAGAAUCCAAAGCAGGCUCCAGGCUCUGAGCUGUCAGCACAGAGCAGGACGCGGGGCUCGAACUCACAAACUGCGAGAUCAUGACCUCAGCUGAAGUCGGAUGCUCAACGGAUUGAGCCACCCAGGCACCGCAUCGCUUUUUUUUUUUUUUUUUUAAUAAAACUAUGUUAAGCCUUUCUAAUUGCCAAUGAAGUGCCUCCCAUUCAAUAAUACAAUUCUGUCUCUAGUAACACAGGCUUGAACCCUAACAUUAGAGAGAAGUGUGUACUUGACCCAGAUACAGGCACACACAUAAAGUGAUUCUCACACUUUGCCAAAAUCUGUCCUAUCAUAGCAACAAAUUAACCUACUUUUUCUAUUUGGGCGCCUCUGUAAAUAAAUGUGUCAAAACCUGA